UACGUAGGGUGCGAGCGUUGUCCGGAAUUAUUGGGCGUAAAGGGCUCGUAGGCGGUCUGUCGCGUCGGGAGUGAAAACUCAGGGCUUAACCCUGAGCCUGCUUCCGAUACGGGCAGACUAGAGGUAGGUAGGGGAGAUCGGAAUUCCUGGUGUAGCGGUGAAAUGCGCAGAUAUCAGGAGGAACACCGGUGGCGAAGGCGGAUCUCUGGGCCUUACCUGACGCUGAGGAGCGAAAGCGUGGGGAGCAAACAGG
rnacentral:rRNA from 1 species